UUUUCGCGUCCGAUGAGAAAAGUUCCCACCUCGGCCAACGGUAUAGCGGACCCUCCGGUUCGUGUCUGCGGGUCGGAUCGAUCUUUGAAACGCAAGGAACAUAAUAAUAUAUUAUUCAGUCGAAAAAUGUCCUCGCGGAGGCAUCGAGAGAAAAGUAUCCGCACAGCCAGCGCGCUGCAAGAGACCGCUAACCGCGGGAUUUCCGCCGAAACUCACGUGAAACGAAAAGACAGCGGCGAGUCGCGCGCUACCCGACUUAAUUUGUGUUUAUUUUAGCGGCGUAUUUACGAGGGG